CGGUGGCUGAGUGGUUUUGGUUAGCAUAUUCGCCUCACACCUCCAGGGUUGGGGGUUCGAUUCCCCCGCUGCCCG